CAGCAGUAGCCGCGGGAAAACAGAGGGUGCGAGCGUUAAUCGGAUUUACUGGGCGUAAAGCGUGCGUAGGCGGCUUUUUAAGUCGGAUGUGAAAUCCCUGAGCUUAACUUAGGAAUUGCAUUCGAUACUGGGAAGCUAGAGUAUGGGAGAGGAUGGUAGAAUUCCAGGUGUAGCGGUGAAAUGCGUAGAGAUCUGGAGGAAUACCGAUGGCGAAGGCAGCCAUCUGGCCUAAUACUGACGCUGAGGUACGAAAGCAUGGGGAGCAAACAGGAUUAGAUACCCGGGUAGUCCCUGUCUCUUAUAC
rnacentral:rRNA from 1 species